UACGUAGGGUGCAAGCGUUAAUCGGAAUUACUGGGCGUAAAGCGUGCGCAGGCGGUUCUAUAAGACAGAUGUGAAAUCCCCCGGGCUCAACCUGGGAACUGCAUUUGUGACUGUAGAGCUGGAGUACGGUAGAGGGGGAUGGAAUUCCGCGUGUAGCAGUGAAAUGCGUAGAUAUGCGGAGGAACACCGAUGGCGAAGGCAAUCCCCCUGGACCCUGUACUGACGCUCAUGCACGAAAGCGUGGGGAGCAAACAGG
rnacentral:rRNA from 1 species